GAUGAACGCUAGCGGCAGGCUUAAUACAUGCAAGUCGAGGGACAGCACUGGUAGCAAUACUGGGUGGUAACCGGCAAACGGGUGCGGAACACGUACACAACCUUCCUUUAAGUGGGGGAUAGCCCAGAGAAAUUUGGAUUAAUACCCCGUAAUAUAGUUGAAUGGCAUCAUUUGAUUAUUAUAGCUACGGCGCUUAAUGAUGGGUGUGCGGCUGAUUAGAUAGUUGGCGGGGUAACGACCCACCAAGUCUACGAUCAGUAGCUGAUGUGAGAGCAUGAUAGGCCACACGGGCACUGAUACACGGGCCCGGCUCCUGCGGGAGGCAGCAGUAAGGGAUAUUGGCCAAUGGACGCAAGUUUGAACCAGCCAUGCCGCGUGAAGGAUUAAGGUCCUCUGGAUUGUAACCUUCUUUUAUUUGGGACGAAAGAGGGCCUUUCUAGGUCAACUGACGGUACCAGAUGAAUAAGCACCGGCUAACUCCGUGCCAGCCGCCGCGGUAAUAC
rnacentral:rRNA from 1 species